CUCUCUCUCCCGCACUCGCGCAGCCCCUUGCCUCUUCCUCUCCCUCCUGCCCACUCGCUCGAUCCUUCGUCGCCGCCUCGGUCGCCGGCCGAUUCCGGCUGCUCCGGUGAGCUCCGGCUCCGCUCAACACACGCACGACUGCUCCUCGACAAGCUCUACCACCUUCACCGCGCCGAUCUACUUUUCAUCGCCUCCUGUGGUCGCCCCUUCGAUUUCCCCCGCUAGGGUUUUGGUGGUGGAGGUGGACCUCGCCUCCGGCGGCCGCCUGCUUGUUGCACCGGUCAUCUCCGCCCCCGUCUAGGUCGCCCCUCGGAGUUGCUCCUGAUCCACCGGGGGAGGCGAGGAGCACCGGCAGAUCAAGUCCCUGGCGUUUUCCUCUACGAGCUGGGGAUGGCGUGCGGUUCUCCUCGCCGGUCUCACUUCUCCCCUUCCUCCUCUACGGUGCUCGACAGAGGCAGCACGGCCGCCCCUCUUCUCCCUCGCUGUUGGCUGCCCCUAAGCACCACGCUGCUUGCCGGACCGAUUCGUGACACCCCCACCGACCUGAGAUCCGCCUCUGCAGAACUAGAAAGGUGCAGCUAAAUAAGAGUUGUUGGCAGCAUCGUUAAUCAUGUGUUUAAUCAUUUGUAUGGAGUAGUAUUAAUGUCCUUCAUGGCAAUGGUUGACAGAAAUCCCUCGUAUUUUCAUGUUUAUUUUCAGUCAAAAGGAUUAGAGAUGGAGCUUGGGACAACAAUCUCUGAGCAGAGCAGCUGAGUGCCUUCCAAAUAUGCCUUUAAAGUUCAGCUUCUUAAUUGUAUAGAACCGUCGAAACUAUUAAUUUGUUGCUCCUGUAUACUGAUUAAUUGACCUUGUGUUUCUCCCUCCUGGGCAAGUUUUCUAUCGCAUACACAAGUGGGUUGUUGUAAUAGUAGUAAAAAUGGAAAAUAAGACGACUUUAAUAGUAGUCAUAUUAGUUGUAUGGAAAUCAAUUCAUUUUAUGGAGAAGCAAGUUUUACCGCUAAAUUGGAAGGAAUUCUCUGAUCGACCGAAACAAACUUUUGGCACACAGCAGAAAAUUCUGAUAAACAAUUUAUUUUCACAAAGUUGGGUACUUCUGUUAGUUGAGAAGAUAUUACAGUUGCGCUAUAGUCAGGAAUAAAUGUUAUUCUUCCUCUGAUAUAUUGCAACAAAUUCAGUUUAUGCAUCCUCUGAUUAUUUGUUUUGUUUUUGGCCUUGUGCUUUUAGCAGUACAUGGUCCAGUAGUAAUCGGGGACUCAGGGGAAGGGCAAUUCUAUCUUCUAUGUGAGGUUGAUUGUUUAUGAUUCGCAUGUCCUCCUGGAUCAGCUAUGUAUGAAAGCAUAAGCCCUCCAAAUUAGAUGGUAGUGUUUAGAAUUAACGAUUUAUCCCAUGUGAAUUGACAUUUUCUUUGUUCUUUCAUUGUGUUUAGAAUUAACGAUUUAUCCCAUGUGAAUUAGUAGCCCCACUCUCUUGAUUAACUGCAGAUUUUAUGCUCUUCCAUUUUGUACUCAGUCAAGUAAUGUUUUUAUGGUUCAUGAAGGUGAGAUACUUGAAGCUCUACGGUUGUGUGCACUAGAAUGGAGAACGUCUCCUUUUUUAAUGGCAACGCACCGAGAAUGUGGCCAAGGGGAUCCUCUGGUGCGGGGUGAUGACCGUGGACAGGCUCCGCUGGGGGAACAAGAUGCUCCGGAAGAGGAUCCAGCCCGGCGAUACUGAGGCCAAGGUCAGCCCGGAGGUGCUCAGGCGUAUCGAAAGGUGAAUCAGAAACCUAACGCUACUCAUUUGCAUGGCGCUGCUGAAAUACUCCAGGAUCGUGAAAAAAAAUAGAACUAGCCUAUCUGGUACUUCACAGCAACCAAACAUGUAAUCUGCUUAAUGGAAAGAUUUCUUCUCCAAGUCCCGCUUCUCCCUUAGCAAUGACAGGCUGAUGCAAAACAUCUGAGCAUUCAAAAGAGAACAAAAGAAUAUGGCUAUUCAUCAAAAUUGGGAAUUGAAUUGGCACAUAUGACAAACUUAGCAGCAAACGAGCAAGGUGCAUGAUUCAAAGUUACAACAGAUCGAAGUUCCAUUUGAGUAUAAGGAAUAACAUUCAUAUUCAAUCAAUAGUACCUAUUAAACUACCAGGCACCUACCCAACUACAAGUCAGGAGGCCACUACUGUUAAACCAACUCAAGUGAGAGAUCCAGCAAACUAGGUAGGAUCUUUCCUUAUCACUAAAAUUAAAAAUUUGAGCACACCAAAAAUUGAUUGUGUAUCAUAAGAUGAUCCUGAGAGUGCAUCACCAUGUUACCAUCUCUAAAGCUGAUUAGCCAGCAGCAAAAAUUGUGUAACAUAUGUUUAACCAUUGCAAACAACCUUAGCAGAAUAAGCAGAACAAAAUUUCAUGUAAAAUCUUGGUAUAACCAGUAGAUUAUCCCCUAAUAGAAGCUAUUUAGGCUCCAAUACACAAGGCACAGCAAGCAGAGACUAAAUAAGCCACGGCAUGAAACAAAGCAUGGUAUUACAGCAGCUUAGAGAUGGAGCUAGAGGUAGGAGAUGGACUCACCGGAGAGGAGGUUGUAGUCGAAGCCGCACAAAGGCACCGCCGCCACCGUCACCCUCUAGAGGAGACGCUGCCGCUUCAUCGACGGACUCAUCUGGUACAAGGAGAUCAUCAAAAUGCAUCACACUCAUGAUCAUCAAAACGCAGCAGCAGGAGCAAAUACAAGUUUAGCCCACCAUGAACAGGGGCGCUAGGCAAUCCAGUAGCAAUGUCAAAUAUAGGAUUGGGAGCAGAGGGAGAGGGCUGUGGAGAUGGACAUGCUACCUGCUGCUGCGAUGGUGCCUCUUGGUGGUCGUGCUUGAGCUCCUCC